rnacentral:rRNA from 1 species
CACGUAGUUAGCCGUGGCUUCCUCCUUGGCUACCGUCAUUAUCGUCACCAAGGACAGAGGUUUACAAUCCGAAAACCUUCUUCCCUCACGCGGCGUCGCUGGGUCAGGGUUUCCCCCCAUUGCCCAAUAUUCCCCCACUGCUGCCUCCCGUAGGAGUCUGGGCCGUGUCUCAGUCCCAAUGUGGCCGUUCAACCUCUCAGUCCGGCUACCAAUCGUCGGCAUGGUGGGCCUCUACCCCGCCAUCUACCUAAUUGGACGCGAGCCCAUCUCUCAGCGGAUUGCUCCUUUGAUUGCAAAACCCAUGCGGCUCUGCAAUGUUAUGCGGUAUUAGCGAUCGUUUCCCAAUCGUUAUCCCCCUCUGAAAGGCAGGUUGCUCACGCGUUACUCACCCGUCCGCCACUCGAAUAUGCCUUCCUCGGCCGAAGCCCUUGUCCAGCAUAUCCCCCGUUCGACUUGCAUGUGUUAGGCGCGCCGCCAGCGUCUCGUCGUGCACGGAGUCAAACGUACU